GCAGUGUGCCUAACAUAUUACCUGAUAUUUUACCAUUAGCGGGUUUCUCUCUUGGCUAAAGGACUGUAGAGAAAGGAACAGCUACAUCUGCCUAGAGAAAUCCAUACAGAAGAGGGAAAUGCUUGUGCUGAGGCUUGAAAGAGGAGGAAACACUGGCUCCAUGAAGCCUUCAUCGACCCUCAAGGAUUGCUCCUUCCUGUCCUUUAUUUCCAUUGAUAAGAAAAAGCUGUCUGUAACUGAUUUCCAGGCCGAAGUACAAGAACAGCUUCCCACUGUCGCUAGUCUCUGGGUGCCUCAACAUCCCUUGUUUGUUUCUUUAACCUGCUUGUAACCUGUAGGCGCGGAGUUUAUUACCUGUUUUCUUGUGAGAAGACAAACUCAGAGUGGAAGAGAACUUGUCCCAGGUCACCCUUGGUGGAGGUGAGCUCAGAUCAGCCUGACCUCACAACCCAACAAGAAGCAGUGCAAGCAGGAAAUGUGUACAUUCUAUAGUCCAUUCAUCCAAGUUGACAAGAAGAAACCUCAGGCAUGAAGACAGAACAAGCAUUUCUCAACAAUACAAAGUGAUAAAGCGUCAAAAUGAGCUUCA
rnacentral:lncRNA from 10 species